GAUGAACGCUGGCGGCGUGCUUAACACAUGCAAGUCGAACGGAAAGGCCCAAGCUUGCUUGGGUACUCGAGUGGCGAACGGGUGAGUAACACGUGGGUGAUCUGCCCUGCACUUCGGGAUAAGCCUGGGAAACUGGGUCUAAUACCGGAUAGGACCACUUCUUGGAUGUUGUGGUGGAAAGUUUUUUCGGUGUGGGAUGAGCUCGCGGCCUAUCAGCUUGUUGGUGGGGUAAUGGCCUACCAAGGCGUCGACGGGUAGCCGGCCUGAGAGGGUGUACGGCCACAUUGGGACUGAGAUACGGCCCAGGCUCCUACGGGAGGCAGCAGUGGGGAAUAUUGCACAAUGGGCGCAAGCCUGAUGCAGCGACGCCGCGUGGGGGAUGACGGCCUUCGGGUUGUAAACUCCUUUCGCUAGGGACGAAGCGUUUUGUGACGGUACCUGGAGAAGAAGCACCGGCUAACUACGUG
rnacentral:rRNA from 1 species